AUCGUACCUCAUGGUUCAUUCUAACCCUUCCGCGAGUCUUCUUCCCCCGGUGACUCUCCAGCCCAGAAAUGAAGUGUAAAAGAAUCAUGGAAACAGAGACACGCAAUUUUGAGAGAAGCAUGAAAUGACGUAACACGAGGACAGCAUUCCGUGGCAAUUGACACUCAUUUUUCAAUGAGUUUUACAGAGA